rnacentral:rRNA from 1 species
CCUACGGGAGGCAGCAGUAGGGAAUAUUGCUCAAUGGGGGAAACACUGAACCAGCAACGCCGCGUGGAGGAUGACGGUUUUAGGAUUGUAAACUCCUUUUGUUAGAGAAGAUAAUGACGGUAUCUGACGAAUAAGCACCGUCUAACUCCGUGCCAGCAGCCGCGGUAAUACGGAGGGUGCAAGCGUUACUCGGAAUCACUGGGCGUAAUGAGCGCGUAGGCGGGAUAGCAAGUCAGAUGUGAAAUCCUAUGGCUUAACCAUAGAACUGCAGUUGAAACUGUUAUUCUAGAGUAUGGGAGAGGUAGGUGGAAUUCUUGGUGUAGGGGUAAAAUCCGUAGAGAUCAAGAGGAAUACUCAUUGCGAAGGCGACCUGCGAGAACAUAACUGACGCUGAUGCGCGAAAGCGUGGGGAGCGAACAGGAUUAGAUACCCGUGUAGUC